AAAAAAGCAAGAGGCACCACCAAAUCCCCACCGAUGUCACCACCCACUGCGUGCCCCUUCUUAUCCACAACACGUCGCCAUUCCUCAUCACCCAAGCGCCGCUCCGCCUCCAUCUUCCUCCUGCUGCCUGACCACCCAUCGUUGCUCCUCCUCCUCUUCUCCUCUUCUCCAUCCGCCUCACACCCAAGUGUUGCUUUCCUGUUCUUGGCCGCGGUGGCUGGCCUGAGCCACAUCCCAGCUGACAGCGUCGGCGUGCUUUCUGGCUACGGCUGGGGCGUUGGUGGCCUGCUCAUCGGCGCACUCGGGCCGGGGCGGAGCCCCCUUCCUUGCAGUGGUGAUGGAGCCCCUCCUCCCGGAGGGUGGCUGGGGGCAACCGAGGUUGCGGGGCAGGUGUGCAGUGGCUCGGUUGCGCCAGAUCUGGCGGCUGGCCAGCACGCGCGGGGGGCGGUCUGGUGGUGGUGUUCGUCUGCCGGUGGCCACGGAUGUGGGAGUGCCGAAGCUGCCUCCGGUGAAAGCCCCUGGGCCCCGGUUUUCUCUUCCAUGAGCUGGUCUCUGUAUCAGCAAUGGGCAUCAAUUUUCUCUGUAUCUUUAGUUCGGCUCUCUCUCCUUCUUUAGGAUUAUUAGCUCAAAUGGCAAUUAAGACAUUUGUUUCUAUUAGGCUCGGUGCUUUUCUUUGGAUUCAUGUGCAUCUCCUCUUUGCUCAUUUUCAAUUGGUGACGCAUAUAGUAGAUGCGGCAGGCAGCUUUCUUGAUUUUUCUCUAGGGUAAACAUGAACAUCUCAUCCGCUUUUUGUUGGCUUGUUGAUCUUGUAAUGCAUGAAAUAAGUUGGUUGGAUUUUAUGUAAUAGAGCAGGUAGGACUAUUAAUUGGAAUCUGAAAUUUUAGCACAGGCACAAGACUUGGUUCCUAAGGCAGGAAGAGGAGGAGCUCGGGCGCGCUGGUGAGAGGAGCCGAAGUGGAACGGUGGUGCCGGGUGAUGCGGUCGCCGGCGUCGGCCGGCAGCGGAUUGAGCAUCACGUGGGCCGCGAGCUUCUUUGUAAACCACAGGGGCUUCUUUGUAAAAAAGCGUGACGGACGACAGAAAUCCAACCAUCCGGAGCUGUCGCCGCCGCGAAGAGCGCCGCCCCACCGCGCCGGAAAGGAAGCAUGUGGAUAAGAUAGAACAAAGGGUCACGGACCGAAUUCUUACAAACG
rnacentral:rRNA from 1 species